AUUGAACGCUGGCGGCAGGCCUAACACAUGCAAGUCGAGCGGAUGAAGGGAGCUUGCUCCUGGAUUCAGCGGCGGACGGGUGAGUAAUGCCUAGGAAUCUGCCUGGUAGUGGGGGAUAACGUCCGGAAACGGGCGCUAAUCCCGCAUACGUCCUGAGGGAGAAAGUGGGGGAUCUUCGGACCUCACGCUAUCAGAUGAGCCUAGGUCGGAUUAGCUAGUUGGUGGGGUAAAGGCCUACCAAGGCGACGAUCCGCAACUGGUCUGAGAGGAUGAUCAGUCACACUGGAACUGAGACACGGUCCAGACUCCUACGGGAGGCAGCAGUGGGGAAUAUUGCACAAUGGGCGAAAGCCUGAUCCAGCCAUGCCGCGUGUGUGAAGAAGGUCUUCGGAUUGUAAAGCACUUUAAGUUGGGAGGAAGGGCAGUAAGUUAAUACCUUGCUGUUUUGACGUUACCAACAGAAUAAGCCCCGGCUAACUUCGUG
rnacentral:rRNA from 1 species